CAGCAGCCACGGGAAAACGGAGGGGGCUAGCGUUGUUCGGAAUUACUGGGCGUAAAGCGCACGUAGGCGGCUUGGUAAGUUAGAGGUGAAAGCCUGGAGCUCAACUCCAGAAUUGCCUUUAAGACUGCCGAGCUAGCAGGUGAGAGAGGUAAGUGGAAUUCCGAGUGUAGAGGUGAAAUUCGUAGAUAUUCGGAAGAACACCAGUGGCGAAGGCGGCUUACUGGCUCAUACUGGACGCUGAGGUGCGAAAGCGUGGGGAGCAAACAGGAUUAGAUACCCCAGUAGUCCCUGUCUCUUAUAC
rnacentral:rRNA from 1 species